rnacentral:rRNA from 1 species
GAUCAUGGCUCAGGAUGAACGCUGGCGGCGUGCCUAACACAUGCAAGUCGAGCGAUUCUCUUCGGAGAAGAGCGGCGGACGGGUGAGUAACGCGUGGGUAACCUGCCUCAUACACAUGGAUAACAUACCGAAAGGUAUGCUAAUACAGGAUAAUAUAAGAGAUUCACAUGGAUUUCUUAUCAAAGCUCCGGCGGUAUGAGAUGGACCCGCGUCUGAUUAGCUAGUUGGUAAGGUAACGGCUUACCAAGGCGACGAUCAGUAGCCGACCUGAGAGGGUGAUCGGCCACAUUGGAACUGAGACACGGUCCAAACUCCUACGGGAGGCAGCAGUGGGGAAUAUUGCACAAUGGGCGAAAGCCUGAUGCAGCAACGCCGCGUGAGUGAUGAAGGCCUUCGGGUCGUAAAACUCUGUCCUCAAGGAAGAUAAUGACGGUACUUGAGGAGGAAGCCCCGGCUAACUACGUGCCAGCCGCCGC